AAAUGGGUGUCCCCCUGGUCGGUCUGCAGCAGCACACGCGAGACCGAGUUAUUGCCGGUGCAACAGAAGUUCCUUUACUGCAGGAGGAGUUUAACCAGCCUUCUCCCAACUUCUCUCUGCCACCAAGAAAGACCCUUCCUGGGAGGCCGUAGCUAUUGCAUGUGAACACUUCUAAAAACAUAGCUCCAGCAUCCCUCUUUGCCGCUGAAGUAUUGAAUUCUGUGGAUUGGAAGAAAUAAAAGUCUCAGUGUGCAUA